GUGCUCUCUGAAAGUGGCACGACUGCUAGAGGGCCCCCAAGGGUCCCUGGACAAAGCAGAUUUUUCUUUGUCAUCCUGCGAGGGCCAAUGUCACUGCCCACGAAACCAGGCACGGUGCAACCAAACAUGCAAAAGUAAUCGAGCAAUGCAUGGCAUCUAGUGGUGACGUCCGGUUGAAACAGCAGGCUGUAAUUGAAUUUCUGACUGUGGAAGGUUGUGCGCCUAUCAACAUUCAUCGCCGUCUGACUGCAGUUUGUGGGGAUGCCUGUGUUGAUGUCAGCACUGUGCGGAGGCAGGCAAGGAUUGUGAAAGACUAAAAUCCAGCCGCAUCAAAUCUCCAGGAUCAGUACCGAAGUGGGCGGCCCGCAACGUCCUCUGAUGAGGAUCAUCAACAUCAGGUGGACGAGUUGAUUCGGGGCACUCGCAGGAUCAAGCAACACGAGAUCGCAACAACACUCGCCAUUUCCAUUGGUUCAGUGAACCACAUGACCUCCUGCAUUACAAGAAGAUAUGUGCUCGUUGGGUACCACGGCAACUGACGACUGACAUGAAAGAGUCGAGGAAGAGAAUCUGUCGGUGGCUGGUCCUGCUAUAUGAACAGGAAGGUGACAACUUUCUUUGCAGAAUUGUUACUGGCAACGAGUCGUAGUCACACCAUUACGAUCCGGAAACGAAGCGUCAGUUGAUGGAGUACCACCACACGUCCUCUGCUCCACCAAAAAAUUCAAAGUUGUCCCAUCGGCUGGCAAAGUGUUGUUGACCCUCUUCUGGGAUUCGGAUGGUGUCGUGUAUACUGAAUUUUUGCGAAACGGUCAGACAAUAAACUCAUAGCGCUGCGUUGACACCCUAAAGCGGCUGCGGGCCAGAUUGCAACGCACUCGCAAAGGUAAACAGGCAAUUGUGCACCACAACAAUGCUUGUCCGCACACAAGGCACAAAACUCGGGAAGCACUGCAGCACCUUAGGUUCACGGCCAUUUUGCCUCAUCCUGCCCAUAGUCCGGAUCUUGCGCCCUGUGACUUUUGGCUCUUCCCCAAACUUAAGGGUCACCUUAAGGGCCAACGUCACAGUUGUGACGCGGAGGUGGAAGCAGCAGUUCGGCAAUGGUGUCGCCAGCAGCCACCACAGUUCUUCGCCGAUGGCAUGAAAAACCUUGUUUUGUGUUGGCUCAAGUGUGUUGCCCGUAAUGGGGACUAGUAUGUUGAAAAAUGAUGCCACCAUUUGUAGCUCACAUUGCAAGCUUACCACUGACACCUGUAUUGAUGCUAUCCGUCAAACACAAAUAAAGGUAUCACCUUGGAGGCAUUACUUUCUGUA